rnacentral:rRNA from 1 species
UACGGGAGGAUCCAAGCGUUAUCCGGAUUCAUUGGGUUUAAAGGGUGCGUAGGCGGAAUGAUAAGUCAGUGGUGAAAUCCUGCAGCUUAACUGCAGAACUGCCAUUGAUACUGUCAAUCUUGAGUAUAUUUGAUGUGGGCGGAAUGUGUCAUGUAGCGGUGAAAUGCUUAGAUAUGACACAGAACACCGAUUGCGAAGGCAGCUCACAAAACUAUAACUGACGCUGAGGCACGAAAGCGUGGGUAUCAAACAGG